UACGUAGGGUGCGAGCGUUAAUCGGAAUUACUGGGCGUAAAGCGUGCGCAGGCGGUUUUGCAAGCCGGAUGUGAAAUCCCCGGGCUUAACCUGGGAACUGCAUCUGUGACUGCAUCGCUGGAGUGCGGCAGAGGGGGAUGGAAUUCCGCGUGUAGCAGUGAAAUGCGUAGAUAUGCGGAGGAACACCGAUGGCGAAGGCAGCCCCCUGGGCUGACACUGACGCUGAGGCACGAAAGCGUGGGGAGCAAACAGG
rnacentral:rRNA from 1 species